UAUAUAUACAAAUUUGUUCUUAAGAAUUUUUGUUGAAUCUGUGUUAAUCUGAAUCUGUAUUUCUAAUGUAAGUUUACAUUCUGAAAAAAUAAUUUUAUUAAUUGUUGAAUUUUGUAAGUUUACAUUCUGUAAGUUUACAUUUUGUUGAAUUUGUUCUUAAGUAAUUUUUAUUAAUUGUGUAUGUUAUUUAAUUCUGAAUCUCUCUCUCAAUCGAGGAUUCUCCCACUAGAAGAUGAAGCUCAAGCAAUUGGAAGGUCAUCUUGGAUCCCUUCAACAAUUCUCGAACCCAAAGAUUGAACUAGAACAAUACUCAACUGGACCCCAUAUCGCUUCUCGGAUGUUAUACACUGCAGAGAAUUCAUUUGGGGAUGUGGCCAACAAGGUAGUGGCAGAUUUUGGUUAUGGGUGUG